rfam:Gossypium raimondii Chr07_contig_611, whole genome shotgun sequence.
CCUGAGGAAGCGUUUUGCUUAUGUGGACAUAAAGCGCGCCCUUAAGGACGCGUUUUAUGUACACGUAAGAAAACGCUCCCUCAGGG